UGGGGAAUCUUGGACAAUGGGCGCAAGCCUGAUCCAGCCAUGCCGCGUGAGUGAUGAAGGCCUUAGGGUCGUAAAGCUCUUUCGCCAGAGAUGAUAAUGACAGUAUCUGGUAAAGAAACCCCGGCUAACUCCGUGCCAGCAGCCGCGGUAAUACGGAGGGGGUUAGCGUUGUUCGGAAUUACUGGGCGUAAAGCGUACGUAGGCGGAUUAGUCAGUCAGAGGUGAAAUCCCAGGGCUCAACCCUGGAACUGCCUUUGAUACUGCUAGUCUUGAGUUCGAGAGAGGUGAGUGGAAUUCCAAGUGUAGAGGUGAAAUUCGUAGAUAUUUGGAGGAACACCAGUGGCGAAGGCGGCUCACUGGCUCGAUACUGACGCUGAGGUACGAAAGUGUGGGGAGCAAACAGGAUUAGAUACCCUGGUAGUCCACACCGUAAACGAWGAAUGCCAGUCGUCGGGCAGUAUACUGUUCGGUGACACACCUAACGGAU
rnacentral:rRNA from 1 species